CAGGGGAGGCAUUUUUAAUGGACUGUAAGGUAGUUUUCUGAGCCCCUAGUGAGUUCCCAUUUGGAACAAGGUACAUUUCUUUAAAGGAUAGCUUUGUCAUUAUUUCUUCAUUUAAAAAACACCUUGAGUGGCAAACUUAAAACCCCUGGGAAUUAGAGGAAGAAGUGUUACAGUAGAUGGGGAGAGAAGGUCCUCUGGAAACUGGUUUUAGUAUCUUUCAGUACUUCAGUGUAAGGAUGCUGAUACACCAGUUCUUGCCUUAUUUUGUUUCUAUGAUAGCAUUCGCUUUAUGAUCAUAGUUAGAAUAACCCUGCUCUUUAAAAGACACUCGGAAUUGGCAUCUAUCUAGCUCUUAGAACAUUAUACAUCAGUAAAACUUUUCUAGUGUUUUAGUAAGGGCAUAUUUAUAUUCUUAGGAAUUUCAGCUGACCACUUCUAGGGUACAGUAUUGACUUCUUGAAUAGUCAGUUAUGAAUUUGAAUUGAUAGAGAAAAUGGAGUUAAGCUAUUUUAAUUUUUCAGUACCAGAAAUCAAGGAGGAGUUAAAUUUCUGGAAAAAAGCAAAUAAAGUGGGUAUAUACUAAGUUGUUUACAUAAAUUCAGGUGCACAAAUAUUUGUCCUGUGGUUAAUUCUUCCAGUGUUAAUGUAUAGAGAAAUUUUUCGUGUUUGAUGAUACAUAUGGGUAGUGACCCAUUGCCUCUUUUUAAGGCAUUGCUAACAUUGAAAAUGUGUGGAUUCACUGAAGAGAUAUGAUUGGAUCAGUGUGUUUUCACCUAGAGAUUUUGAAAACUGUUUGCAUGCUGUUAUGUAAGGUAUUUCUCACCUUAAUUAUUCUUGUUU
rnacentral:lncRNA from 1 species